rnacentral:rRNA from 1 species
UACGUAGGGCGCAAGCGUUGUCCGGAAUUAUUGGGCGUAAAGAGCUCGUAGGCGGUUUGUCGCGUCUGCUGUGAAAACCUAAGGCUCAACCUUGGGCUUGCAGUGGGUACGGGCAGACUAGAGUGCGGUAGGGGUGACCGGAAUUCCUGGUGUAGCGGUGGAAUGCGCAGAUAUCAGGAGGAACACCGAUGGCGAAGGCAGGUCACUGGGCCGCAACUGACGCUGAGGAGCGAAAGCAUGGGGAGCGAACAGG